CAUUCCAACAGCUUUUUGGGUCCC
rnacentral:siRNA from 1 species